rnacentral:rRNA from 1 species
GACAGAGGUGCCGAGCGUUAGGCGGAAUCACUGGGCUUAAAGCGUGUGUAGGCGGGUCGUUAAGUGCCUUGUGAAAUCCCACAGCUCACCUGUGGAACUGCUUGGCAUACUGGCGGUCUUGAGCCACUUAGGGGCAACCGGAACAAACGGUGGAGCGGUGAAAUGCGUAGAUAUCGUUUGGAACGCCAAUGGUGAAAACAGGUUGCUGGGAGUGUGCUGACGCUGAGACACGAAAGCCAGGGGAGCAAACGGG